UACAUGUGAGAAUUUAGAUAUUCAUGAAAACAAAGCUUAUCUAGUCAUCUUUAAGAAGUUUGAUUCUUGAUGCAGUCUUCUAUAAUGCCAUUGAUUGGUGACUUAUCAAAUAAAACAUCCAAAAUGUAAUCAAUUGGAAAAGUUUUGAGUUGUUUUAACUUCAAAUAUGACAACGACCCCCAAAACAUUGUGCGUGUUUUCCAUUGUGUAUUAGUUGGAUUGCGG
rnacentral:misc_RNA from 1 species